CAAACGCACACACUCCCACAGCUGGGGGUGAAGCGGGUUGGACACCCCCCACCCCGAAAGGGAACCACUGCUCGGUCUCUUGGCUGGUCUGUGGGUCUGCCAACACCUUCUGGUAAGGGCAGGAUGUGGGAAGGCGGGGACAUCUGGCGCUCCAGGCACCAGCCCCGUCGGGAAAAGAGACCUUCAACAGAGGAACUGAGGGGGAACAGCUUUCUUCGAAUCCCACCCGCUGACGUUCUGAGGGUCUUACAGCUGGAAAGCGCAGGGGCCACCCGGAGCCAUCUCUUGUCUGACGGAACAGCUCAGGGUCUCCCGUCCACUCUGCACUCCGCCCUCUGCCGUGACUCAGCUCCUCUCUCCGGCCUGGGAUCCCAGCCAGAAUGAAUCCCGGCUUCCUCUCCCGCCAAGGGACAGGGAGCACCCCUUCCCCGCCCGGCUCCUCCUUCCCAAACUCUGUCCUCUUGCAAGACCCCCUCACAGCCCGGCCCCAGGUUGGGACCCAGGUUGGGAAGGGAACCGGGUAGGCCACCCAAGGUCAGCGUGCGCCUCCCUCCGGCUGCAAACACGUGUGUCAGGCCUUGGCCAACUCUGAGGUAACAGCCCUGCCUUUCCCAGGGCCUCCCCGCGCCCCCAGCACAGGCCUUCUCCCCAACACAGCCCUCGCCACUGUCCUCAAAGGGGAGGCGUCCCAACAAAGUGUCCUUUCCUACUAGCAAUAAACACAGCAGAGGCCAA